rnacentral:misc_RNA from 1 species
GAUGAAGAACUCAGCGAAAUGCGAUAAUUAAUGUGAAUUGCAGAAUUCAGUGAAUCAUCGAGUCUUUGAACGCACAUUGCGCCCCCUGGUAUUCCGGGGGGCAUGCCUGUCCGAGCGUCAUUGCUGCCCUCAAGCACGGCUUGUGUGUUGGGCUUCCGUCCCUGGCAACGGGGACGGGCCCAAAAGGCAGUGGCGGCACCAUGUCUGGUCCUCGAGCGUAUGGGGCUUUGUCACCCGCUCCCGUAGGUCCAGCUGGCAGCUAGCCUCGCAACCAAUCUUUUUAACCAGGUUGACCUCGGAUCAGGUAGGGAUACCCGCUGAACUUAAGCAUAUCAAUAAGCGGAGGA